rnacentral:tRNA from 1 species
GCAUCAAUAGCUCAGCUGGUAGAGCAGGCCCUUCGCAAGGACAAGGCCCAGGGUUUAAGGCCCUCUUGAGGCACCA